rnacentral:rRNA from 1 species
GACGUAGGAGGCGAGCGUUGUCCGGAUUCAUUGGGCGUAAAGAGCACGCAGGCGGUUUGGCAAGUCGGAUGUGAAAACCCGGAGCUCAACUCCGGACCUGCAUCCGAAACUGCCCGACUAGAGGUAGGUAGGGGAGAUCGGAAUUCCUGGUGUAGCGGUGAAAUGCGCAGAUAUCAGGAGGAACACCGGUGGCGAAGGCGGGUCUCUGGGCCGUAACUGACGCUGAGGAGCGAAAGCGUGGGGAGCGAACAGG